AGUUUCAGAAACUUCCCGAAGCUAUUUUGAGUCAUUAACCAUCCUGCUUAAAGGAGAUUUCUGCAGGAUGGACUGUUUCUAACCCUGAGGGCAAUGUUAUACAACAGAAUGUCUGUGUACAUGCAUGUAGACACCAGAGGUCAACCAAGAAUGCCAUUCCUCAGGCACCAUCCACUUUGUUUUUACAGACAGUCUCUUAGUGCUCAAAGCUUCACAUAUUACAGUAGAUUCACAGGGCAGCAAGCCUCAGGGAUCAACUCCCUCCAUGUCCUAGGUCCUAAGAUUACAAGUCAGUGCCACUGUGCCAAGCUUUUUUAUUUUUAACAUGAGUUCUUUGGAUCAAAUUCAAUCCCUAAUGCUUGCACCAUUGUAAGCCCCUCGAAGUACUGGCCAGGUCCCGCCUCCUGACUGCUCUAAAGGCCUUAAUGGCUGUUUCCAGCCCCUCCAAAGGCAAACAGCCAAGUUCUGCCCUCCAGAGGGGAGGCGGGUGGAACAAGACAAGGCAAGAGAAUCCUACCAAACACUUAGAUCAAAAUUCUACCAAUCCCUGGGCUUGCCCCAAGAUCAGGACACCCUAGAAAGCUCUCACCCCUCUCACAAGAAACUGUAAGAGCCAAGGCAGCCACCCUCUUGUGCCUUUCCCAAUAAAUCUCUUGGGUGAGGUUUGUGGUAUGGAAGGACUUUGGUGUAUAUGGUAGCUCUUGACUACCAGGAUACCUUUCUCUUCAGAGCUGCAGCACUUAUGCGCACAGUACAUAUUUUACCUUCUGUGCUCCAAAAUUGAAUCUUGUAUAAAGAAUAUUUCAGAAUUAUAAAAAUUUGCCCAAGAAGUCUAUCAAAAAGAACACCUGAAAAUAAGAACUGUCUCUGUACAACUCGCAUGACUACCAUCAAAACCAAGAAAUGGUUACUUACAAAUUGUCAGCAUUUACCAGCAGACCUCAUUAUGUUUUUACCAGUUGUCCCAAUGAUGACUCUUUCAAGAAAAUGACCUAGUUUAGAACUUAGUGCUACGAUAACUGGUCAUAUCUCUUCUUCUCUCUUGGUCUGGGAGAGUGACCCAGUCUUUUCUAAGCUAUAUGACCUUUAAAAAAUUGUAUUUAUUAAUUUUGUAGAUAUGUGAUUUGAGUCAUGUUUGUUGAGGAAUUAAAAUAAGCCAUAUCUAUAUGCAGAAUAUUUAACACCUUUUUAAAGGCAAAGCACCUAAGUUUCUUCUCCCUAUCUUUCUAGUAUGUACGGUACACAGUCAAAAUGGAUAGCCAAGCACCCUAUGUCAACAGCACACAGGAACUUCUCAGAUAUGAAUCUUUAAGACAGAACCUGAUGACCCACCUCUUUCCCAUCCCUCUCCUUCACCUCCACUCUCCAGCCUCUGGGAGCCAAUAGUCUAUUCUCAACAUCCGUGACAACAGCACUUAGAAUCCACAUAUGAGUGAGCUCAUUUGAUAGUGGCCUUUCAGAGCCUGACUUACUUCACUCGUCUGAAUGAUCUCCAGCUCCAUUUAUGUUGUCCCGAUGACUGACAGUAUGCUGUUUUUUGUAACUGAAGCCUUUGUAUUGUAUAUACAUACUAUAUUAUUUAUCUACCUGUCUAUUGAGUUGAUGAACACUUAAGCUGCUGCCUUUUCUUGUCUGUCAUGCACAGUGCUCAAAUGAACACAGGAGUGCAUAUGACUCUUCAACAUACUGGGUUUGUUCUCUUUGUGUGUAUCCAGGAUUGGAGUUGCUGGAUCCUAUGCCAGCAGCUGUUUGUUUGUGUUUGUCUGUUUUUUUAGGUUUUGCUUGGUUUUUUUUUUCAUUGUUGAUGUUGUUUUGUUUUGUUUUUAAGAAAACCCAAUAGUCCUUUCUAUAAUGGCUAUAAAAUUCAAGGGUGCAAUUUCAUACAUCCUUGCCCAUAGUUUUUGAUAAUAGUUAUUCUUACAUGGUGAUUUAAAUGUGUAUUUUCUAGUGUUGUUUAAUAUUUUUCACAUACCUCUUGGCUAUUUAACCUACUCUUUUAAGAAAUGUUUUCUUGGAUCUAUUGGUUAGUUUUUACCUUUAUUUUUGAGAUUAUAAUUAUAUCAUUUUUACUCUCUUUUAAAAGUUUUAUAUUUCUUAUGUGGUCUGGAUAUUAAACCUUUCAGAAAUGUAGUCAGGAAACUUUCCUGCACAUUCUAUAGGGUUUUUCUCUUUACUUUGAUGAAAUUUUCUUAGGCAAGUGAAAGCAUUUUAAGCCCAUUUGUCUAGAUUUGCUUUAGUAGAGUAUUUUUUGCACAGAGCCCCUGCCUGUCGCCGUGCCCACCAGUGUUUUCCUGGGUAGUUUUAUUGUGGUUACUUAGAUCCCAGGGAUGCAGAAGUAAGCCUGCACCCUUGGUGCUGUGUCUGUGAAGAGCCUGUGGUUCUGACUCACCUGCCUACUGUACACUUAGGACUCUCAACUUUAGGUUCUAUCUUCCAGGCUUUCCCUGGUAAAUUGAUGACUAUUCUUUAAAAACUAGGUCUUUUAUUAAAAAAAUUAAAAAGUCCUUCAAAGGCAUCAAAAUAUUUCAUUCUUUCUCAAACUCUGAUUACUCACUUAAAAAAAUUUUACAUGGCAUCAUUGCUUCUUAAUUUACGCCAUAGAUUCUAGCCUGUUUGAUAGUUCAGACUGGUACUGAAAACACAGAGGAGCCCAUUACAGCCAGUCUCUAUAUCCCUUUGCCAUAAGUCCAUCAUUCUUUGAGCAUUUUUGUUGUCUUGCUUUUAGUCCAUCUUGCACUUUUUUGUUCUGAUCUUGGAAUUAACUAUCUCACUGAGGAGUACACCACCCCUGAAGAUGUUCUUUCUCUGAUUGUAGCUCUACUCCACAUUCUAGAGCAUAAGUACACACACACAGACACACACACACACGGACACAUGGAUACAGACACUGACACCUGGGUCCUGUCUCCCUUGCUGAAAUGCCAUUAUCUUGUAUGACACCUCAUACAGAGAUGCACACCUUUUUCUGCUUGGACUCCUCAUCCAUAUUGGGUAUCAGAGCUCCAUUCUAGACUACCAUGGAUAGCCAUCACUUCCCUCCUCUAGGAAUAGUCCUAUUUUCUCGUUUACUUGAGGAACAAAUUGUUAAAAAAAAAAAAAGGAAGAAUAUGGUGUCUAAACAUACAGC
rnacentral:lncRNA from 1 species